GACGAACGCUGGCGGCGUGCUUAACACAUGCAAGUCGAGCGGUAAGGCCCUUUCGGGGGUACACGAGCGGCGAACGGGUGAGUAACACGUGGGUGACCUGCCCUUAGCUCUGGGAUAAGCCUGGGAAACUGGGUCUAAUACCGGAUAUGACUCCAUGACGCAUGUUGUGGGGUGGAAAGCCUUGUGCGGCUAGGGAUGGGCCCGCGGCCUAUCAGCUUGUUGGUGGGGUGAUGGCCACCAAGGCGACGACGGGUAGCCGGCCUGAGAGGGCGACCGGCCACACUGGGACUGAGACACGGCCCAGACUCCUACGGGAGGCAGCAGUGGGGAAUCUUGCGCAAUGGGCGAAAGCCUGACGCAGCGACGCCGCGUGGGGAUGACGGCCUCGGU
rnacentral:rRNA from 1 species